rnacentral:rRNA from 1 species
CAAGGCGGUGGAGCAUUGUUGUUUAAUUCGAGGCAACGCGAAGUAACCUUACCUAGGUCUUGACAUCCCGAUGCUUAUUUCUAGAGAUAGAAAGUUACUUCGGUACAUCGGUGACAGGUGGUGCAUGGUUGUCGUCAGCUCGUGUCGUGAGAUGUUGGGUUAAGUCCCGCAACGAGCGCAACCCUUGUCUUUAAUUGCCAGCAUUCAGUUGGGCACUUUAAAGAGACUGCCGGUGUUAAGCCGGAGGAAGGUGGGGAUGACGUCAAGUCCUCAUGGCCUUUAUGCCCAGGGCUACACACGUGCUACAAUGGGUGGUACAAAGAGAUGCCAACUCGCGAGAGCGCGCCAAUCUCAGAAAGCCAUCCUCAGUUCGGAUUGGAGUCUGCAACUCGACUCCAUGAAGUUGGAAUCGCUAGUAAUCGCGGAUCAGCACGCCGCGGUGAAUACGUUCCCGGGCCUU